rnacentral:misc_RNA from 1 species
GCCCGAAAGAUACACACGCCUACGGAGUUCGAGGUCUCUUUCCACACUCUGGCCGCGUUCUCAUUUAUAUUUCGCUCUCUUGCAUUGUCUUCGCUGCACGUACGCCUAUCGGUGAGCAGGUGACUAUUUAUUGUUCCUGCGCGCUCGCUUCCUAUCUCUGUACGCCACACACACACACACACACACACACACACGCACACACUCACGCAGAACCACAACGCAGCUCUCCCCCCUCUGCUCACCUUUGCGUCUGCUUCGCUUGUGGGCGACAGAGAAAACGGUGAAGCGGCGAAGGACUGCGAACGGGAAGCAUCGACAGACACUUGGAAAAAGCACCGGCGGCACCAACGACGCUGACAGUAGAGUCUUCCGUCAUUUGCAGCCCCCGAAACUAAAGAGGGCCGAAGAAGGGAAGGCGAGCAACCCCGUUUUGCACGCGACAUCACCGGUGAUCGUUCUCCGUCCCCCCUUGCCCACUUCUUGUGUUCUCCACAUUGCUUACUUGUGCGAGGACGCAAGAGGUUGCCAGGCAGCGCAUCGUAUACACGCGUUUUGCCUAUUUCCUUCGUCAUCCUGCCGCCGCCCCCAGACUUACUUGGGUGUUCGUGUGUUUCUGUGUGUACCUGUGGACUGAAGAGGUCACAGGUGCACAACAAACGGAUAACCCAGAUCGUCGUCUCACACCCGUAUACCCACACAUACACGGCGCCACAUACUGAACACCACCGUUACCGCGACACCGUCCCACGAGAUCGUUGCUGCUUCCACUGUAUUCACGCUUUCGCUCUCUAGUUGUUCUCAGCUGUUGCUGUAGCGGCUGCGCCUCACACGUGUUAUUCAGGCUCGAGCCCCACCUCUCCACUCCUCACGGAUCCUCUCUCUCGCCUGCCCGUGCGAAGCACACAUCUGCCGUGAGGGCUACCACUCUCUCCCCCUGACUGCCUGCGACUGCGUUGCACAACGUCACGGCUCCUUCGACUUCUCGCUGCUUCUUUGGAAUUUCUUUUUAUGUUUUUGUUCUCCGGGUGUGCCCCCCCCCUCCCCCUCGACUUCUCCGUUUCGGCAUUUUGUGUGUGCAUCUGUAUCUUUUCUAUGUAUGCAUCCCGUUUUGUUUCAUGUAUCCAUCUCUGCACGUGCACACGUAACCAACGGCAGCGCCCCGAUCUCGCCUCCUUGUUGCUUGGCCUUGAAACAUAUACACCGAUCUCUCUAUAUAUGUCUAUCCAUCUCUCUCUAUAUUUUCCUUGAUUUGCAUAACAUUGGACUUGCGUUGUUCUGUGUGCCCCUUUUCUGUACCCCUCUCUGCCAUUCUGUGCGAUUGCGAGUGCGUGUGGGUGUGUGCCUUGUGUGCGUCUCCGUCGCGUCGAAUCUCUCUGCGGUCUGGGCCUGUCUUCCCCCCCCCCCCCCCCCGUGCCGUGUCUCGCGUACGUGUGCCACCCGCCCUCGUCUGCCCGGCCUUUUCCACCCUUUUCUGUGCCCUGCUUCUCGCCUCGCUCAGAGUUGGCCACGUCUCCCUCUCGCGUCGACGAGACCCGCUGCGCCGCCCCUCCCUUUGUUUCCUGCUGAUGGUGUGCUCGACAGUGGUCGCCACCACACGUCGGGGCACCGGCUGCGUGGGCGUGAGUGAUGGCGUGAGCUGCCGGGUACACAAACGCACGCUCGAGGCGUUGCGGGUGUCUGCGUGGCGGUGCGGUUUGCGGUUGGUGGCCCUUGCUGUGCUCGCGGUGGUGGCAGCAUCCCUCUGCACUGCACCGGCUGCAUGGGCUGCCGACAGCAGCGGCAAGGACCCCGAAAAAAACCCAGUCUACCUACUGAACGCUACGUAUUCCCUCGACCCAUUCAUGGCGGACGAUGCGAAGGCGUUGUGGCUGGGCAUCGACUCCGCGCUGCACGCUUCUGGUUACAAGACUGCUAACGGACGGCCGGUCGAGAUCGUGAACCCGGAUCCAAGUAUCAAGAAGUCCGACAUCAUUGCCGUCGUGCAGAAGGCGCUCGAGAAGUACCCGACGCUUCUUGGUGUGAUUGGGCCCUUUAUGGACCCGUUGAUGUCGACUGUCAUGAAAAGUGACGCGUUGAAGGGCAAGGACUUGAUGUUUAUGGCUCCUUUCACCGGGUCGAAUGCGGUGCGCAUGUGGGACAACGACGUGUACUUCACGCGUGGCGAUCCGUGGACAGAGAUGACGAUCAUACUGACGCACAUGCUGAAAAGGAUUCGCGCUCGCCGCACUGCGUUCAUGUAUCUGACGGGUGCGCAGUUCGGCGACUCCGAGUACAAGAUGGUAGUGUCGGUUCUCUCCUCCUUUUCGCUCGACCCGCCGGCUGUGUACUCCGCGCCGUACUCGACGAAGAACACUGCUGUGAACAAAAAGACCUUCGACGCGAUGGCGGACACGCGCCCGCAGGUGAUCAUAGUCUGGGGGAUUCCGGGUGAGCAGGUUGUGAAGUUCCUGCAGGCGGUGCUGACGGACCCGCGUACGUCGUCGGCGUACAUCAUGACCUGCUUCCCGCUGCAGCGGAUAGUAUUCCGGGUGUACUACGAUCUUGCGAUGGCUGGGAAGCUGACGCCUGUAGACGGGCAGAUCAUGUCGAGCGCAACCUCACUUCCGAUCUCUCAUAUAGAAAUUGAACAUGUGAGACUAUUCCGUACCGAGAUGGGGGAGUACAUGAAGAAGACCGGCCGCGUGGACGCGAGCCUGUGGGCCGACGAGGCGAAGGCUGUGCAGAAGUACGGCCCCCGAGGGCGUGAGGCGUCGUCGUCGGACUCUGCUGCAUACGCGGACAAGUUCUACAACGAGCAUCCAAGCACUGGGCAGCUGAUGAUUGCUGGGUGGCUUUCUGGAAAGCUGAUUGAUCAGACGCUGCAUGAGCCGCUGUGGACCAUCGAUCGGAAGACGUACAAGGCUGGGCUCUUUGAUCAGACCCGGUAUGUGAUUGGCGGAGAUAUUGUUCUUGGUGACUACGGUGGCCCGUGCACCCCCAUCGCCGAGUUUCUGGGCGCCGUGUGCUACUGUAACCAGGGCGGGCGUGCCUCUAUUCUCCAAGGCCUGAAAAAAGCCGCGUGGGAGCUCUUGCCGGAUGCUAUCUUCCACUACGCGCAGUCUGCCUGCUAUCUGAACAAGAUCGUACUCUCAAAGCCGCUGAAUGUCGUGACGCUGAACGUCUCCGACCUCCCGAAGCUGAGGAAAGCUGCUGCGGAUAUGGCCAAGGUGAUCCCACUUGCCAUCAGCGAAGAACGCCUGGACUUUUCAGCUUUUAACCCGGCGACGCUGAAUGCGACGCAGACGACAGCGCAGGGUGUGCUUGACUGGGAGUUCUUGAACUACUCCGUCGAUGUGGUCACCGGCCCGCUGCUUCGAAGCAUUGACUUGAGUGGACUGCUGGUGAUCUCUCCUGUGUUUAACCGGCCGAACGUGUUGGUGGAGAAGGAGAACUACCUGUUCCUGAUGCCGACGCUGGAGCAGGAGAUGUACGUCAUGUAUUCGGAGCUGUCAUCUGUGAGGGCCCUGACGUCGAUCGGCGAAGAUGUGAACCUUGUGCUUCACGAGUACACAAGCGCGAACGUGAAGGACAUCUCUGCAGUAGCGCUGCGGACGGCCGCAACGUUCAACGCUCCCGACCCAACCGUCAAGGCCGUCUCGUCGGGGACGUCGUUGAAGUCAUCGCUCGAACCGAGUAUGAUCAACUAUGUUCUUGGGAUCACGGACGACGAUGUGGAUGCGAUCGCCGCCUUCCUCUCCACGCACCCAUUGGCGAUCGUGGUAAUUUCGUUUGGGGACCUGGCUCACGAAUACGAGCUUCUCACCGAUACCUUCGCCAAGCUUCCCAACGCUGAGCAGGCGCGCCUGCUCACGUUCACUAACCUGCCGCUCUGGAGCGACAUGUCCCCGAGUUCCCUCGAGAGCUAUCCGCUGCUGAAGCUGUUCAACGCCAUUUUUCCGAAGCCCGCGGACCACACACCGUCUCUGCUGCGAGACCUCUUAUCCAUCGUCUUUAUCCACGUUGUGGCCUACGGGGAUGGCGGAUUUGAGAAGCCGACCUCACUCCAGGAGAGCGCCUAUAAAAAAGGCGUCAUCAACGCGUACAGCGUGACCCUGGGCCGCUUUACGUGGAACUGCACAAACACCACUAGUGGUCUUGAGUGCUUGUACAGAAACUACGGCGCGCAGGGCAUCGUGAUGCUUUCCGUCCAGCGGAUGCUGGACCCGACGGUGCCGCAGGUUUCUUCUCCCAGUACGCCGACGAUGGAGUAUCGGCCGCGCCAAAAGGCGGAUAAGAUGACGUCCGCGCAGCGAAACGGCCUGAUUGCUGGACUCGUUAUGUUCACUAUCAUCUUGCUUACGGCUGUUCCCCUGAUACUGUACUGGUGCACGGAAGGCCGCGACAACGACGCCGCGCCGAAGGACGGUGACGAGCCGGUGACGCUGCUCUUCACGGACAUCGAGAGCAGCACUGCGCUGUGGGCCGCGCUGCCGCAGCUGAUGGCUGACGCGAUUGCUGCGCACCACUGUGUGAUCCGGCAGCUGGUGAAGAAGUACGGGUGCUACGAGGUGAAGACGAUCGGCGACUCGUUCAUGAUCGCGUGCAGGAGCGCGCACAGCGCUGUGAGCCUUGCGUGCGAGAUACAGACGAAGCUGCUGAAGCACGACUGGGGUACGGAGGCGCUGGACCGCGCGUACCGCGAGUUCGAGCUUGCGCGCGUGGACACGUUGGACGACUACGAGCCGCCGACUGCGCGGCUGAGCGAGGAGGAGUACGCUGCGCUGUGGUGCGGGCUGCGCGUGCGCGUGGGGAUCCACACGGGGCUGACCGACAUCCGGUACGACGAGGUGACGAGGGGGUACGACUACUACGGCGACACGUCGAACAUGGCUGCGCGCACGGAGGCUGUUGCGAAUGGCGGGCAGGUUGUCGCGACGGAGGCGGCGUGGUGGGCGCUGUCGAACGACGAGCGCGCGGGUAUUGCGCACACUGCGAUGGGACCGCAGGGGCUGCGCGGUGUGCCGUUCGCCGUGGAGAUGUUCCAGCUGAACGCUGUGCCUGGCCGCCGCCACGCUGCGCUGCGCACUGAGAUCGAGGCGAUCCUGCCGGAUGAUACAGCGACGGACACGGCCUCGAGCGCUGCAGGCGCGCUGCUGUCGUCUGUGGGCACGAUAAAUGGCCCUGCUGCUGGCAUUGCCUUCGUGUUGGCGAGCUGCUUUGCGCCGUACCCCGUUGCGCAGCGCGUGCGAGAGCUGCAGCCGCUGCUGAGCAAGUGGGGCGUUGGUGCGCCGCCGCGGAGUCGUCUUGUGAGCGAGGAGGACUACUGCCAGGGGCUGAUGAACCGUCUUGCGAUUCGGAUUGCGACGGUGUCGCAGGCCCGCCAGCGGAUGGGCAGUAACGAGACUGGAGUUUCAGGAGAUUUGCAGAACAUUAUCUCAAGUGGAGUGCUGAACCCGUUGCUGGGUGAGGGCAGCUUUAUCUCAGACGGUGCGAGGGCACGGCAUUCGGGGCUGACGGCGGUGCCGCCCUCUGCUGAACCGUCUGCGAUGCGCGAGUCACGUCUCUGGAGGAGGUCGACGAUGAAUGGGCUAACACUCUCAAGGGGUCCAUCGAGUAGGAAGGAAAGCUUGAGUGUUAAUACCGCGGGGUUCCAUGACGACGUGGUGCCGUUCACCGCACAGGCAUCACGGCGGUUCUCAGAGGAGCACAAUUCGCGGAGUGCGAGCAUCUCUUGCGAGGUUGUCGUUGUGCGGAUGCCCAUGAAGCUCGGGCGCCGCCGCCGCCCAAGUUUGCUGGAGCCGUUGGCGGAGGACGUGGCCGACGAGGCGUAGUCUGGGGGAGCGGGAGCUCAUCUUGGAGAGGUGUGUCGGUGGCGGCGGACUUUGUUUUGUUUUGCAUCACGUCUCUAUGCUGUGCUCGCUCAGUGGCGGGGCUCAGUGAAUGACUGCUGUGACAGAUGCCGUCUGCUUGCCGCUUGCAUGUGUGUCUGUGUGUGCGCGAACGCGAAGACAGCGCCGCGAGGGCGGCGUGCGCAAGAGCAGUGGGAUCUUCCUGGGGACGUGCCACAGUGCGUUCAGGAGGAUGACGGCUGCGCACAGCAUGAUGCAAGCAGAAUGAUGUGUGUGCUUAGUGCAAGGCGUGCACAUUCUGACUCCGUCACUCACCCCCUCCCCUCCACAGACGCCCCCCUCCCUCAGCCUUUUCGGAGAUGUGCGACGCGGGAGAGGGAGAGGAAACGUGUGUGCGACAGCGCGUUCACCUGUGCCUCGGCUGAGAAUGGCACCACCGCCUCUCCCUCUGUGCGGGAGGGGUAUCGGCAUACAUCACCACGGCCACACCUACUCCUUUUUCGUUCUCUGUCCGUAUCUCUUUCAUGGAGCUUUUUCGGGUUGACGGCGUGCGUUGUAGUCGUGUUGACGGACCUCGCUCACCGUAGCGGUGUAUUAGGGACGGUGGGUUUCUUGUCUCACUUGUCGUGCUGCUGCGUUCCGUCGAUCGUUCUCUCUCUGUGUUGGUUUGAUGGCCGAUCCUUCGUCGAUGUGGUUCUGCGUUUUUUUUUUUUGCUCUCUUACUCGCUUGCUGUGUGAUGCUUUCCUGCCGUCUUAUUGUCCCGAUGCACACGGGUGUGCCACGAGGCGGCUUCGAAAGCAGGUAUAUAUAUAUUUUUAUUAGCUUGUGCGUGUCUUUACACGUGUGGUACACCAGUGGAUGCCAUUGGUUCUUCGGAGCGGCGCGGCUUUUUGUGUGUGUUGCCCUCGAUGGUGUUCUUUAUGCUGUGUGUGAACCAGACAAAGGACUUGCGCGAGGGGGAGAGCUGAGUCCAUGCGAGAGGACGCGAGCGAUGUGACGAGGUCCGUUGGCGCUGGUUGACAGGGAGAGGCUUGCAUGUGUGGAUGUGUCUCUGGCGAGUUGUGCCCACGCACGCUCACACACUGCCUCGGCAAAGAAAUCUACUCUGCGCAUGAGCGACUCGCAAAUUUAUAUGCGUAUGUGUAGUAACGGAAUGACGCACCCACUCCCUGCUGUUGCGCGCUACUGUUUCUUUUUUUUUUCAGGUCACUCGGAGAACUUCUCCGGUUUUCCUCUCCACACAUUCUGCUGUUUCUGUUUCGCAGAGGAGGGUGACGGGUAUAAGCGAACGGUCUUUACAUUUUCACACCCUCCCCUCUCUCCCUGUUUUCCUGGUUUGUGCUUUUUGUGUUUCCUGGUUCGAGUAUACACUUUUGGACGCGGAUGUGUGUGUGUGUGCGUGUGCUGGCGACACGUAAGGCUAGUGCCCUCUUGCCAUGUUUCUUUAUGUGCUAUAAAAGAACCGUGUGCGCGUCUGGGCUGCCCGUUUUAGUUUCUUUUUCUCUCUCUUUCUGCUUUGGGCUCUUACCACCAAACACCAUCCCACACUCCCUCCUCUCUCCCUCCCUCUGCACCAAUCCGCCUGCUCUCCUACUACCUGUAUAUGUGUGUGUGUGUUUAUGCCCCAGUGCGUGUGUCUUCUCCGUGUUUUCGUUCUUUUCCUUUUGUUUUUCCCUCUCGUGUCCUCCGUUGCAUAUAUAGGUACACGUACGCGCGCGCCCGCACACGCACACACGCGCAUGCAUACACCUAUACAUGUAUCUCGAUGCAGCUGCACCCCACUUUGCGAACUCGCAAUUUCUCAUACACAACAAACAAGAAAACACGAAGAAAUUCAUUCUUGUCUCUCUUCGGUUGUUGUCUUCCACCUUAUCUUACCCCCACCCCUCUCUGUCCCUGCUUAUCCCGCGCCCCCUGUGUCGACACACAUUUCUUUGCCCUCUUCCUCAGCUUUAUCCGGUGUUCCCACCCCUCCCUUUCACAUGAGCCCUCUCUGCGCGCGAGUGCGUGCGUGAUGGAUUGGGGCGGAGGAGGAGGGGGGGCGUGAGUGCGUGAGGUGAGGGCCGUCUUUUCGUAUUUUUCACUCGUUUUCUUUUCCCACGUUGUUUCUUGCUUCCGCCCUGCCCGCCUGCCUUUUUUUGUCUUGUUGUUUGCCCUUCUCUCUGGUGUCACUGACCCCGCCCGCCCCCCUCCCUUUCUCCCGUGGCCCGCAUCUCCGGCAUUUCGUUACGCCCACCAUGCUCACCAACGCCGUGGCAAGGCACCGGUGAAAGCGUGCAUGCACAUGCACAUACACACAUACACACACAUAUAUAUAUAUGUACAUAUACAGCUAUGUAUGCAUGUACAUAUGUGUAUAUGUAUACACAAAAGGGAGGGAGGGGGAGGGAGGACUAGCCUUUUUGUUUGAAGAAUGCCCCAUCCUCCCCAUCGCCGCAGCCGCCCUGCUCUCAAUUUUCCCUUUCUUCGGGGGCAAGGGGGAGGGAGGGAGGGGGGGGGCGAGGAAGAAGGAAAAGAAAUGCUUUCCAUUUGAAAGAGGUGAAAAAGAAGGAGCUGCCCAUCGCCCACCGCCCAUCGCCUAUCCUCACUCGCCCCAAACGUAACGGAGAACAUGGAGCUCGUGCAAGCCAACCGAUUAUAACGGGGGGGAGGAGGAGCCGCCGAGGGGCGGAUGUGACGGGGCGCGUAAAUCCACCGGCACAGGCGACUCGUCAAUGAUCGGAUGAACGCGUGUGCCGCGGCGUGGAAGGGCGUUUCUCUGUGGCUUCAAAGCGUGACUGAGCACCGUGCCAGCGUUCCG